UACAGAGGUCUCAAGCGUUGUUCGGAUUCACUGGGCGUAAAGGGCGCGUAGGCGGGCUGGCAAGUCGGUCGUGAAAGCCUUCGGCUCAACCGAAGAACGUCGGCCGAUACUGCCGUUCUUGAGGGAUGCAGAGGAGACUGGAAUUCCCGGUGUAGCGGUGAAAUGUGUAGAGAUCGGGAGGAACACCGGUGGCGAAGGCGGGUCUCUGGGCAUCUCCUGACGCUGAGGCGCGAAAGCGUGGGGAGCAAACGGG
rnacentral:rRNA from 1 species